rnacentral:ncRNA from 1 species
UACCGGGGGAGCUUUGGCUGAGAGUGCGGCGCAUGCUGCAGACCCUUUUAACCUGAUCCGGGUAAUGCCGGCGUAGGGAAAGGUUUAUUU